rnacentral:rRNA from 1 species
GACGGGCCCCGCACAAGCAGCGGAGCGUGUGGUUUAAUUCGAUGCUACACGAAGAACCUUACCAGGGUUUGACAUACAAGUAGUAGGGAAAGGAAACUGGACCGACCCUUCGGGGAGCUUGUACAGGUGCUGCAUGGCUGUCGUCAGCUCGUGUCGUGAGAUGUUCGGUUAAGUCCGCUAACGAGCGCAACCCUCGCUGUGUGUUACAAGUGUCACACGGAACUGCCGGUCAUAAACCGGAGGAAGGUGGGGAUGACGUCAAGUCAGCAUGGCCUUUAUGUCCUGGGCUACACACACGCUACAAUGGCCAACACAAUAGGUUGCUAAGCCGCGAGGUGGAGCCAAUCCUCAAAGUUGGUCUCAGUUCAGAUUGCAGGCUGCAACCCGCCUGCAUGAAGAUGGAGUUGCUAGUAACCGCAGGUCAGCUAUACUGCGGUGAAUACGUUCCCGGGCCUU